AACAUGGCCUCCGUCCUGGGCCCAGCGCGCGCCGCCCGCCUCCCUAUAAUCGUGGUUUUGGGCGCCACGGGACAGAAAUCAAAGCUCGCCUUGGAAUUAGCAACGAGAUUCAAAGGAGAAAUAAUCAGCGCCGACUCCAUGCAGGUGUACAAGGGGCUGGACAUCAUCACCAACAAGGUCACACCCGAGGAGGCCGCCCAAGCCCCACACCACAUCCUCGGCUUCCUCGACCCCUUAUCUCGCUUCACCGUCACCGAUUUCCGCAACGCCGCCCUGCCCGUGGUGGAGCGACUGCUGGCGGAGGACAAAGUGCCGGUGAUCGUAGGCGGCACGAACUACUACAUCGAGAGCCUCCUUUGGCAUGUCCUGAUCGAUGGGGUGCCGAAGGGGAGCGACGGGAAGCUGGUCUACGAGAGGGAUAAGGAGCUGUAUAGUGGAGGUGGUAGUAGUGGGGAGAAAAAGAGAGAUUCUGUGGUUAGUGGUGACGGGUUUUUUGCGUCGAAGCGAAGUCGUGUGAGUGAUGAUGAUGUUGAUGGUGGUGAUGGUGGAAGGAACGUCACCGGUCACCAUCGCAACGCAGAAAACGGCGAGAGAGUGACGGGACGCAGUGAAAGUGAGGGAAAGGAAACGGACGAAGGAAAACAUCAUGACCAGGAAAAUGAGGAAAGUGUGCGUGUUAGUGGUGGCGAUGGCGAUGAAAGUGGCGUCCAGGAAAGUGAUAUCAAAAGUGGUGGCGAUGGAGUUUUAAGUGAUGGUGGUGAAAGUGGCGUCCGUAAAAGUGAUAUCAAAAGUGGCGGUGGAGUUUUAAGUGAUGGUGGUGGAAGUGGCGUCCAUAAAAGUGAUAUCAAAAGUGGUGGUGAUGGAGUUUUAAGUGACAAGGACAGUGGUGAUGAUGGUGGUGAAAGUGGCGUCCGUGAAAGUGACGACGGAGUUUUAAGUGAGAAAGAUUGUGGUGGUGAUACUGGUGGUGGUGUUGGUGGUGGGUUGACGGUGUGGCAGGAGACAGACACCCCCACCCAGGAGCUCUACCAGCGUCUCCGUCAAGUGGACCCGGAGAUAGCCGACACCUACCACCCUAAUGAGCGGCGGAAAAUCAUCAGGUCGCUUCAGGUGUACGAGCAGACGGGUCGGCCACACAGUCACCUGCUUAAGGAACAGAGGGGGCAGAAGGGGGGCUCGGGUCUGGGGGGGGCGCUGCGGUACCCCCACUCCCUCAUUCUCUGGAUCACGUGCGACCAGGACGUCCUCUUGAAGCGCCUGGAUGACCGAGUGGAUGAGAUGAUCGAGCGUGGCCUCCUGCAAGAACUCCUGGACUUCCACGCCUCCUACAACAGCCGCCGCCUUCAGGACGGGGCGGCGGCUGACUACACUUGCGGCAUCUUCCAGAGUAUCGGCUUCAAGGAGUUCCAUGAGUUCCUGGUGCUGCCGGAGGAGGAGAGGGAGAGCGAGAAGGGACUGAAGCUGUACGAGGCGGGGGUGGCGGCCAUGAAACUGGCCACGCGACAGUACACCAAGAAGCAGCUCAGGUGGAUCAAAAACCGCUUCAUCACGCCGUCGGACAGGAAGGUCCCGCCGUUGUACACCCUGGACGCCACUGACCCUGGGGAGUGGGAUGCCAAGGUGCGGGGGCCGGCCGAGGCGCUGGUGCAGGCCGUGAUGGAGGGCCGCGUGCCAGACCUCAAGCCAGCCAACCCGCCGCCUGACCCUGCCGCUGCCAACACGCCCAGAAACACCAAGGCGAGGCACGAGUGUGAGGUGUGCCAGCGAGUGUUCAUCGGUGACCACGUUUGGCUGGACCACCUGCACGGCGCCAAGCACAGGAAGAUGCUGAGGAGGAAGGAGGCGACACAGCAGCAGCAGCAGGAGCAGUAGCAGGCAUAGGAGGAGGAGGAGGAGUUGGUGGAGGUUGGUGUUGGUGAUGCUGCCGUCUGAGGUUGUGGUGUUGCGUGUGUUGGUGAGGAUGAUGGUGACGCGGUUCUCUCUCUUCCCUCCCAGCUUGGUAAAGGAAAGUGCCGGUGAUGGAGUUGGCCACACACUCCCACCCUAUGGCUCUGGUUUGGACCUGAUAGAAAUGAAUGACGAUGAUACUGUGAGAGUACCAGGGUGGGAUUGAGGGAGGUGGUGCUACGGAGAGACCACCAGUAGAAUGGGUCGUGAAGAGUUGGCAGGUGAGGGAAUAUUGGACUGUUUCCACGGCCAUCCCCUUGAGGAGAGAUCUUACGUGGGGAUCAGGAGUUGGACAAGUAGAUAAGUAUUGUGUGACACCUUGCUCCCUGUCAGGUGCCAUGACCAUCCAACAAGGCUACAGACCUCCUAGAGAUUGGCAGCAGAGACCACACCAUGGCAUGGAACGAGACGCCUAACACAGUUGUGGAAUGAUCCAGCUGUCAGCCAUACCUUGGGAGCUGUCUGUUGGGGAGAAGGGAAGCUGUUAAUAAACUCUAAAAAGAAAGUUAUGCUAAUGCUUCAGAGUUGGAGAAAUGUCUACAGUUCUAUCAGCCUUAAGUGGCAGUUGUGGUGUAGCACCCCCACCCCCCCCACCAGUUUUUAACUGACCUGUUUUGUGUGCUCCUAUUCACCCUUCUCACUUUAACCCUCUCGUGCACGUUGAUGCGUUUUGCGUCAUCAGAGGGUAAAAGGUCCUGCCGCACAGCACAUAACAAGUUUAAAUGAUUGAUUAAAAAUUAAAUUUUCAGUGAAAGUUCAUCAAAUUUGGGAGUGUCAUUUGUUAGGAUAAGUUUCUUAAUGGUAACGUAUGGCAACCUUUCUAAGAAGUGUAGAGCGAUUUUUAGUUGUUAGCCUACUCUGACGGGAGAGGAAAAAAAUAGUUUUCUUUAUGUAACUUGGGAACUAAUAAGCAUAUGAGGAUUUUUAGGAUACCAUAAGAAUCCUCACUAAAUUCCGUUUCGAAGCAUAUAAAAAUGGAAGCAUAUAUUCAGCUAAAGAAGUUGGCCCACAAAAUUUUGAGUAGCGAGUGGGGAAGAGUUGAUACUUCGGAUUUAUUGUCUCCAAUACUCUAUAAAAGUUUGUAUAGUUUAUUUUCCUCUAUUUUUAUUUGUGCAUGUUCUAGGACAAGUCUUUAUGAAGCCAUUGAUACCAAAUUUUAUUGGGGUAUGAUGUAUCUGUGAGGGUAAAAUACGUCCGGCGGCGGUGGCCAAAAAAGACCGGUCGGGCCUGAGAAAUGCAUGGUGAGUGGAACAGAAACUUAUGGUGCACGAGAGGGUUAACUUUUAGAUACUAAAAGCCUUUAUGUUUAUGUAUGAUUUGUAUUUUGUUAGCACAUACAAAGAACUUUGUUAAACAUCACCACUCUGGCCACCUCCUCUGACCCAGGUCCUGUCAUUCUAUAGGGAUGAACCCAAUAUUUGAUCAAAAUAUGGCAGACAGUGCACCCAUGUGGGGUUGAAAGAGGCCAGUUGAGCUGACACCACCACAGAGGCAACAUUGCAGUGUACGUACACUCGGCCCUCAAUUUAAUGGAUUAAAAGAGGGGAAGGGUGGUCCGUUGCUUGAAAAUACUUACAUACGAUAAAUACCAGUAUACAAUAAAAUUACUGUUUUGUAACAUUCAAGUACUGUACAUUAGUAUAAUAUAUUUAAUUAAAGAACUGAAA